AUUGAACGCUAGCGGCAGGCCUAACACAUGCAAGUCGAACGAGUGGCGGACGGGUGAGUAAUGUCUGGGAAACUGCCUGAUGGAGGGGGCUAACUACUGGAAACGGUAGCUAAUACCGCAUACCAUCAGAUGUGCCCAGAGGGGAUGAGCUGGUGGGUGGGGGAACGGCACACCAAGGCGACGAUCCCUGGCUGGUCUGAGAGGAUGACCAGCCACACUGGAACUGAGACACGGGCCAGACUCCUACGGGAGGCAGCAGUGGGGAAUAUUGCACAAGGGGCGAAAGCCUGAUGCAGCCAUGCCGCGUGUAUGAAGAAGGCCUUCGGGUUGUAAAGUACUUUCGUCGGGGAGGCGUUACCCGCAGAAGAAGCACCGGCUAACUCCGUGCCAGCAGCCGCGGUAAUAC
rnacentral:rRNA from 1 species